UAUAUAUAUAUAUAUAUAUAUAUAAUAGUAAGUAAAUACAUUGGUAAUGGGUGUCCACUUAUAAUAAUGUAUGGCUCAUGUGAUGAGCCAACUACCUUUUGAUAACAACUCCAUACUUAUAUAAAUCAUCAUGACUGUUUCCUCAUUGUUUUGAUAUUGUUCCCUUCUGUAUGUUUGUCCAAGUCUAUUUUUGUAUUUCACUUAUUACACUUGUUUUGUUCAACACAGUUAU